UGAUGGGGAGAAGACAUUGUGUCUUCGAGUCGUUGAUUUCACACUGCCGAGAAAAGCCUCUAGAUAGAAAAUAGGUGCCCGUACCGCAAACCGACACAGGUAGUCAAGAUGAGAAUUCUAAGGUGAGCGAGCGAACUCUCGUUAAGGAACUCGGCAAAAUGACCCCGUAACUUCGGGAGAAGGGGUGCUCUUUAGGGUUAACGCCCAGAAGAGCCGCAGUGAAUAGGCCCAAGCGACUGUUUAUCAAAAACACAGGUCUCUGCUAAACCGUAAGGUGAUGUAUAGGGGCUGACGCCUGCCCGGUGCUGGAAGGUUAAGAGGAGUGGUUAGCUUCUGCGAAGCUACGAAUCGAAGCCCCAGUAAACGGCGGCCGUAACUAUAACGGUCCUAAGGUAGCGAAAUUCCUUGUCGGGUAAGUUCCGACCCGCACGAAAGGCGUAACGAUUUGGGCACUGUCUCAACGAGAGACUCGGUGAAAUCAUAGUACCUGUGAAGAUGCAGGUUACCCGCGACAGGACGGAAAGACCCCGUGGAGCUUUACUGUAGCCUGAUAUUGAAAUUCGGCACAGCUUGUACAGGAUAGGUAGGAGCCUUUGAAACGUGAGCGCUAGCUUACGUGGAGGCGCUGGUGGGAUACUACCCUAGCUGUGUUGGCUUUCUAACCCGCACCACUUAUCGUGGUGGGAGACAGUGUCAGGCGGGCAGUUUGACUGGGGCGGUCGCCUCCUAAAAGGUAACGGAGGCGCUCAAAGGUUCCCUCAGAAUGGUUGGAAAUCAUUCAUAGAGUGUAAAGGCAUAAGGGAGCUUGACUGCGAGACCUACAAGUCGAGCAGGGUCGAAAGACGGACUUAGUGAUCCGGUGGUUCCGCAUGGAAGGGCCAUCGCUCAACGGAUAAAAGCUACCCCGGGGAUAACAGGCUUAUCUCCCCCAAGAGUUCACAUCGACGGGGAGGUUUGGCACCUCGAUGUCGGCUCAUCGCAUCCUGGGGCUGUAGUCGGUCCCAAGGGUUGGGCUGUUCGCCCAUUAAAGCGGUACGCGAGCUGGGUUCAGAACGUCGUGAGACAGUUCGGUCCCUAUCCGUCGUGGGCGUAGGAAAUUUGAGAGGAGCUGUCCUUAGUACGAGAGGACCGGGAUGGACAUACCUCUGGUGUACCAGUUGUCGUGCCAACGGCAUAGCUGGGUAGCUAUGUGUGGACGGGAUAAGUGCUGAAAGCAUCUAAGCAUGAAGCCCCCCUCAAGAUGAGAUUUCCCAACUUCGGUUAUAAGAUCCCUCAAAGAUGAUGAGGUUAAUAGGUUCGAGGUGGAAGCAUGGUGACAUGUGGAGCUGACGAAUACUAAUCGAUCGAAGACUUAAUCAA
rnacentral:rRNA from 1 species